UCCUAUUUAUGGAUUGAAAUCAGCAAUUUUUCUCAUUUUAACUUAGACAAAAUUUCCAGCUUUCUAGGUUUUUCUCUCUGGUUCUCUCUUGGCUAUGAAACAACCCUAUAAUUACACAAGGGUUCUUGGGAUUUACCUUCCUUCCAAGCUAAAGGGAUUAAGAUAUUGAGGAAAUACACAUUAAGACACUAAAAUACUAAGGAAAUCAAGAUAAGUAAUCUAAAAGUGCGGGAAGUCGAUUUGGACUGGUAUUGGAGUUUUACAACCAGGUAUGUAAGGCAUACUCUAUUUUGCACCCUUGGCGUGAAAACAGAUACUUGUUCCAUCGAGUAAGCUUCCAAGGUCAUCCAAGAACACGUGCUACAUAAUAGCACCUAUGAUAUCCUAUGUUACUAAUGAACUUAUUCCCACUCUCUAAUGUGUUAAACCACCUCGAUACAUGCUUGCUACCUAUCCUACAUACCUAUUUUCACUAGUAAAUUUCAGAAUUUCUCCGGUUACUCAAAUAAGACCCAUGUGUUAUUUUUAGCUCUUAAACACUUCAUUAGUGUGCCAACAACUCCUUACUUCAUUGUUAUUGCAUUGAUUGCCUAUUUACAUGUCUCUUAUUGAUAUAUCAUUGUUUCAAGGUACCAUAAGGUUAGGACCACCAAAGUAACAAUCUCAAAAGGCUAAUUAAACUAAGUAACGGAAAUCUAUAAAACGGGUGGCAGCUCAGAGGCAUAAGCCUAGGAUGGGCCGAUCUCGAUACUUUAUAUGUAGGUGGCAUCUCAGGGGCAUAAGCCUAGCAUGGGCCGAUCCUGAUUUAUUAUUUACCACUGAUCAGCUGGUCAUUUGUGUCAUAUAGAUUACAAAGAUAAUGAAGGAAGAAGGUAAAAGGAAGAAAGAAAUGUAAUGUACCCUGUUCCACAAGUAAAUGUAAAGGUGGUCUACUAGCACUAUUCUUAUAGUUGUUCCAUAUUUUUAUUGAGCCUUUAUGUCAUGUAUUGUUACUAUUCUGCCUUGCAUACUCAGUAUACUUUUUCGUACUAACUCCCCUUAUAGGGGGACUUAUAUUUCAUGCUACAGGCACAGGUACUUCGGCAAACACGCCUCCUCAGUAGGAUCCCAGGAUAUCCAUCUGCUAUUGGUGACCUCCAGUUUGCUUCGGGGCUUUUCGAGUCGGUUCCAUAUAUUUUUGGUAUUGUAAAAAAUUUAAUAGUAUGGCGGGGGUUUGUCCCGACCUUAGCUAAAUUUUGUGUAUCGUCUAGAGUCUUUGUAGACCAAUGUAAAGUUAAGCAUAGUAGUGUGUUAUCUUGUAGAUGUUAUGGCCCAAACGGCCAAGUCUAUUAUGUAUAUAGUUUUAGGGCUUGUCGUUUAUAUUUUUUUUAUUAAGGCAUUAUAUCAGUAUAUGGCAAAAU